rnacentral:rRNA from 1 species
AUUGAACGCUGGCGGCAGGCCUAACACAUGCAAGUCGAACGGUAGCACAGAGAGCUUGCUCUCGGGUGACGAGUGGCGGACGGGUGAGUAAUGUCUGAGAAACUGCCCGAUGGAGGGGGAUAACUACUGGAAACGGUAGCUAAUACCGCAUAACGUCGCAAGACCAAAGUGGGGGACCUUCGGGCCUCACACCAUCGGAUGUGCCCAGAUGGGAUUAGCUAGUAGGUGGGGGAAUGGCUCACCUAGGCGACGAUCCCUAGCUGGUCUGAGAGGAUGACCAGCCACACUGGAACUGAGACACGGUCCAGACUCCUACGGGAGGCAGCAGUGGGGAAUAUUGCACAAUGGGCGCAAGCCUGAUGCAGCCAUGCCGCGUGUAUGAAGAAGGCCUUCGGGUUGUAAAGUACUUUCAGCGGGGAGGAAGGCGGUGAAGUUAAUAGCUUCACCGAUUGACGUUACCCGCAGAAGAAGCACCGGCUAACUCCGUGCCAGCAGCCGCGGUAA